rnacentral:rRNA from 1 species
GAUGAACGCUGGCGGCGUGCUUAACACAUGCAAGUCGAACGAUGAUGCCCAGCUUGCUGGGUGGAUUAGUGGCGAACGGGUGAGUAACACGUGAGUAACCUGCCCUUGACUCUGGGAUAAGCCUGGGAAACUGGGUCUAAUACCGGAUACGACCAUCUGGCGCAUGUCAUGGUGGUGGAAAGCUUUUGUGGUUUUGGAUGGACUCGCGGCCUAUCAGCUUGUUGGUGGGGUAAUGGCCUACCAAGGCGAAGACGGGUAGCCGGCCUGAGAGGGUGACCGGCCACACUGGGACUGAGACACGGCCCAGACUCCUACGGGAGGCAGCAGUGGGGAAUAUUGCACAAUGGGCGCAAGCCUGAUGCAGCGACGCCGCGUGAGGGAUGACGGCCUUCGGGUUGUAAACCUCUUUCAGUAGGGAAGAAGCGAAAGUGACGGUACCUGCAGAAGAAGCGCCGGCUAACUACGUG